rnacentral:rRNA from 1 species
AACGAACGCUGGCGGCAGGCUUAACACAUGCAAGUCGAGCGCCCCGCAAGGGGAGCGGCAGACGGGUGAGUAACGCGUGGGAAUCUACCCAUCUCUACGGAAUAACGCAUGGAAACGUGUGCUAAUACCGUAUACGUCCUUCGGGAGAAAGAUUUAUCGGAGAUGGAUGAGCCCGCGUUGGAUUAGCUAGUUGGUGGGGUAAAGGCCUACCAAGGCGACGAUCCAUAGCUGGUCUGAGAGGAUGAUCAGCCACACUGGGACUGAGACACGGCCCAGACUCCUACGGGAGGCAGCAGUGGGGAAUAUUGGACAAUGGGCGCAAGCCUGAUCCAGCCAUGCCGCGUGAGUGGUGAAGGCCCUAGGGUUGUAAAGCUCUUUCACCGGUGAAGAUAAUGACGGUAACCGGAGAAGAGGCCCCGGCUAACUUCGUGCCAGCCGCCGCUGUAAAAC